rnacentral:lncRNA from 1 species
GGGGGACAAAGUAGUUGGUAAUAUUCUAUGAAGGCAACAAACGAUUCACUAUGUACUGAAAAUGAAAUGCUAUUUGUAAAAAAACAACACUCAAGACAGAACUAGCAAAUUGGAGUACAAAAGAUGAAGGUAACAAAAAGCUUAAUAUGGAUAAAGGGAAGGCGCUCGAAAAAUAUGAAAAAGAAUUAGUUACGGCUAUAUGGGGAGAUAGAAUCUACCACACUUGGAGAGAAACAAAUUGAAAAAUAUUCAGAGAGACAGCUAAAAAUACAGAUAUUACAUUUGUACAAAUAAUAAAGAGAUAGCUAAAAGAGUGGAUUUCUUGAAACACAAUAGGAAAGUUAAUAGAUGUAGAUACCUGGUCGAAGAAAUUUGUAACUAGGUGAUACAAAUUUACUUUAUGUGCAGAACAAAAUAGUCCAUAUCAGCAUCAUCCAGCUUAAAAAAUUAAAGAAAAUAAUGUUGUAAAUCCUUACCAUAACAACAUUCCACAUGUAUUCUAGCCUAUCGAUCUUUUAUUACGUACCCUCAAUGGACACAUAUGUUUUCACACUAAUGAGACUUGUAGGAUUCAGACAUUUAUAGGAAGUUUUUUGUCCUUUCUCACCUAAAAUACAAUGGAACUUCAGGACAAAAAAAAUCUUUGCUUAGAGACUUUUUAGAAGCUACACUCAAAUAGCUCACCCUUACUAAAGGAAGAAUGCCCUGAUCAGUUUCACACUGGGAGAAGGAUGGUACCGAUCAGAGAAAGUAGUGCUAAGUAUAUUCUACGCAAAGUUGGGCCUGAGAAGAUUUUAAAUUUUUUGAAUAACUAGACUAGUAAAGUGCAGUUGGCUAGCACCAUCAAUAGUCCCCCUAAAGGAAGAACCCAAGAGUGACUAAUUUUAUUCAUAAUGUAUAUUGGAAAGUGAACAUGUUUAAAGUUGUUUUCCCUUAACAAGUAGUUCAGAAAAUUAUGAGCAUCCAAAUUUAUGAUGAAUAAAAGAUCUACGAAUUCGGUCCAUCCACUAUAGUGGAAAAUUCACCUGUCACAAUACUUCAGAGUCUGCUAUGAGAUAGAGAAACAACCAAUGCAUUACUUCAAACAUGAUCUGGCAUCGUAAAAUGAAAUAUCACUUUCAAGAUAUCAUUUUUUGAUUAUGAGACUAUCGAGAAUUAGACUGCCAAUUGACAGUUCCCUCUAAAAAUUCAAAGUUCUUGGCCACUCUAGGUGUUGUUGGUGCAAACAGUAUUUCGAUGAAAGUAUGGAACACAAGUUUUAUAACAAUGGCUUGGUUAAAUACGUACAAACCUUUAGCAACACGAACAUAAUUAAGGAUAUGACUAAACUACAGUAGUGCACAAAGCAAAAUAACAUUAAGUUAAAAUAAAAGGAAAAAAAACCUAACGGAUACUCAAAAAUUAGGGAAAAUAAAAAAUUUGAAAAAUUUAGACAUUCCACAAAGCAAUUGAGAGUAAAAAUAAUACAAACUUACCUUGAAGAGAAGAAAACGCAAGUGUUGAGAAAACUAAUAAGCCCAUAAGCAGUAAGAAGAGAAGAUUGGUUCUCUUUAAGGAAUAAUAGAAUGUGUACUACAAUUAAAAUAGAGAGAUCUUGUUGCCUACUUAAAUAGAAGGAACUAAGAGACCUUCGGCCUAAUUUCUCUUAAUAAACAUUGAAAUUGACGUACCUUAUUCAUUUUGAUCUUAUAUGUUUCUUGAUUGUCCUCUGGCUAAUUUUCUUCCAACAAAUUGACACUCCUAAUUUUAAACUGAGGGAGCCCUAUGGCUAGAUAAAUUUAGGGUUAAUACAGACUUGGGCAGAAUAAAAAAUCCCCAAAUCUCAAAUAGAAUAGGAGAGAAGAAGGUAUUGCAGAUUUUACACAAAUUUCUCUAUUGGUACUGGAGAUAAGUUGUGCUUCAGUUAGGAUUCUCUAAUAGAAUGAUAGAAGAUCAGAAACUUCAUUAGUGAAUCUAUUUUCUUACGGAGAGGAGGAGUGGGGUAUGUGGACUAUUUUUUUAUGGAGAGGAGGGGUGGCGUAUGUCG